rnacentral:lncRNA from 1 species
CUUCUCCCUCAUAUCCUAUCCUAUCUCUUGAAUAAUGAUCGGGCUUGCCUAGUAGUGUGUUGGGCGCCAUCACGACCGGGAUUUGGGUCGUGACAAUAUGAAUUGAAAUUUUGAUUUAUGUAUUGGAAUCUUAGUUUAUAAAUUGAAAUUUUAGGAUAUGACUUGAACUUUUGUGGAUAUGAGUUGAACCUUUAGGAUAUGGAUUGAACCUUUAGGAUAUGAAUUGAAAUUUUGGUUUAUGUAUUGGUAUUUUAGAUUAUAAAUUGAAAUUUUAGGAUAUGACUUGAACUUUUGUGGAUAUGAGUUGAACCUUUAGGAUAUGAAUUGAAAUUUUUGUUUAUGUAUUGGUAUUUUAGAUUAUAAAUUAAAAUUUUAGGAUAUGACUUGAACUUUUGUGGAUAUGAGUUGAACCUCUAGGAUAUGAAUUGAAAUUUUGGUUUAUGUAUUAGAAUUUUAGUUUAUAAAUUGAAAUUUUAGGAUAUGACUUGAACUUUUGUGGAUAUGAAUUGAAAUUUUGGUUUAUAUAUUGGAAUUUUAAUUUAUAAAUU